AACGAACGCUGGCGGCAGGCCUAACACAUGCAAGUCGAGCGAAGCCUUCGGGCUUAGCGGCGGACGGGUGAGUAACGCGUGGGAACGUGCCCUUUGGUACGGAAUAGCCCCGGGAAACUGGGAGUAAUACCGUAUGUGGUCGCGAGACGAAAGAUUUAUCGCCAAAGGAUCGGCCCGCGUUGGAUUAGGUAGUUGUUGGGGUAAUGGCCUACCAAGCCGACGAUCCAUAGCUGGUUUGAGAGGAUGGUCAGCCACACUGGGACUGAGACACGGCCCAGACUCCUGCGGGAGGCAGCAGUGGGGAAUCUUAGACAAUGGGGGAAACCCUGAUCUAGCCAUGCCGCGUGAUCGAUGAAAGCCUUAGGGUUGUAAAGCACUUUUAGUAGGGAAGAUAAUUACGUUACCUACAGAAAAAGCACCGGCUAACUCCGUGCCAGCCGCCGCCGUAAUAC
rnacentral:rRNA from 1 species